AGUAAAUGCUUUCCUCAUGGGUUUAUGGUAAACAUUGUCCUAAUCAGAGGAAACUGAACCACCCUCUUGCCCAAAUAUGGUCACCUCUGAGUGAAACUGAAACUCCUGGUAAUUAAAAGGAAGCAUACUUAAAAAAAUAAGCCCUCUUAAGAAAGUCUGGCAUGUUCGCGCACACGCCAAAAACAGCAUUUUGAGCCAUUGCUUAAGGCAGAAUAAGAAGGUAUGUGACUAAUGGCGCAGCAAGCUCUUUGUAGUCCUCCAAUAACAGGUUGUAGUCAUAGUAACAAACCUAACAUUUAGUGAUAACAAUGUUUAGUGUGAUUACAUAUUAGCUUCCCGCUGCAGGGCGGAGCUCCGAAAGCUACUUGAGAACUUGAGCCCUGAGGAACGCUCGUCCUCCAGGUGCCACCGAGACACCUCUAAAGAAUUUUCUUCUUCUUCUCCUUCUUCUUCUUCUUGUGUUUGUUUUCUUCUUCAUCUUCUUUUUAUUUGUUUUGGUUUAUAGAGAUGAAUCCCUGCGCCGACCAUUUGCAUGAGCGUCACAUCAACACAUUGUGAAACCGGCCGAUGACUCACUCUGACGCAGGUCCUUUUCGCAUACCUCCCAUCAUCCUCUCCCUCUCUCCUCCCCCUCUGUCUCUCCACGCGCACGCACACAGACACACACACACACACGUGGACAGAUUUUCUCAGGAGAAUAACUCAGCUCAUGAACACCCACGCCGUUUUGCUGCUCACAGUGGCAGCCCUGCUCAAACAGCCACCCCUCCCCUCCCUGUCCUUCCACCUCCUCCUCCAGUGCAAGUCACUGCUCAUGAUGAUGAUGAUGAUGAUGUGUUGCCGCGGCAACGGCAGGAGGUGGGCGGCUCCACGGGCGGUGGGCGGAAGCCAGCCGCUAAGCGGCGUGGGAGGGAUCUGCCGAGCGCACCCAUCACCCUCAUUUUGAAAGGAGCAGGAAGCCGACUGCUUUUGAGAAGAGCGUGCAUGUGGUUCCCAGAUUUCUAUCUGCAAAUCAUCAAUCUGUCACUUCAUGAAUGGAAAGAGGCUGCUGCUCCUACACCCCUGUCACAGGCAUGGACAACUGGUGGAGAGUGUGGACUGUAACUCAGCUGAAUGGAUAGGAAGCUUAAAAAAAGGGAGAAGCAGAAUAUUUUAACAUAAACUCAGUGACGUUUGCUUCACUCAUUUUCAGUGUGGUCCAGAAUGUUUUGUUUGUGUGUUUGUUUGUUUGUUGGUUAAGCCAUUUAACACUGAACCAAAAACACACACACAAUUUGACAGCUUAAAA